rnacentral:rRNA from 1 species
UACAGAGGUGCCAAGCGUUGUUCGGAUUUAUUGGGCGUAAAGGGUGCGUAGGUGGUCUGGUAAGUCGGAUGUGAAAUCCCGGAGCUUAACUUCGGAACUGCAUUCGAUACUGCCGGACUGGAGUACUGGAGAGGAGAUCGGAAUUUACGGUGUAGCAGUGAAAUGCGUAGAUAUCAUAAGGAAGACCAGUGGCGAAGGCGGAUCUCUGGACAGUUACUGACACUGAGGCACGAAGGCCAGGGGAGCAAACGGG